AGCGAACGCUGGCGGCAGGCCUAAUACAUGCAAGUCGAGCGCACCUUCGGGUGAGCGGCGGACGGGUGAGUAACGCGUGGGAACGUGCCCUUUGGUACGGGAUAGCUGAGGGAAACUUCAGCUAAUACCGUAUGUGCCCUACGGGGGAAAGAUUUAUCGCCAUUGGAGCGGCCCGCGUUGGAUUAGGUAGUUGGUGAGGUAAAGGCUCACCAAGCCUACGAUCCAUAGCUGGUCUGAGAGGAUGAUCAGCCACACUGGGACUGAGACACGGCCCAGACUCCUACGGGAGGCAGCAGUAGGGAAUCUUGCGCAAUGGGCGAAAGCCUGACGCAGCCAUGCCGCGUGUAUGAUGAAGGUCUUAGGAUUGUAAAAUACUUCCACCGGGGAAGAUAAUGACGGUACCCGGAGAAGAAGCCCCGGCUAACUUCGUGCCAGCCGCCGCGGUAACAC
rnacentral:rRNA from 1 species